UUGCGUGGAACGUCUGAACGUAUUUACAAUCCAGACCUGGUCUGCCCAGUAAGGCAGCCACUAGCCAACGUGGGCUAUUGAUUUAUUAAUUGAUACAUUAAUUUUAAUUAUAUUAAAACAAGCAGUGUGGAAUGCUUUCUCCUUAAACAGGCGUUUUUUUGUUUUGUUGUUUUUUUUUCAGGACCAUAUUUCCCUUUAAAUGCUGAAAAUUUAGUGUGGAAUUGAUAUGUACUGUAUGCAUAAACCACACGCUGGAUGUCUAAGACUGGUGAGCAAGUCUUGACAUCUGGAGGAGUUUCCACCAUCCAAGAAGGAAAAGGCAAAGGUCCACAUGGGAAGCUGGAGGUGAAUGGGAGAGACAGAGGCUGCUCAGAUAGGGGCUUUGGUUUCCUGUCUGCCUGUCAGAGCAGGAGGAGGUGGGCCUUGCAGCACCUUGCAUCUGCGUCACUUCAUUUGUAAGAAGAUGGCUGGAAUGGUGAAAAGCACACAGGUUGGAUAUCCAAAGAAGCAGAUUCUGAGAUGGAGACUAGUGUGCAGGAAGUUUCUUUGAAAGUACUUUUGCAAUCAACACCUGGGAAAGGAGGGGAAGGGAAGAAAGCAGGACUGAGCAGAGGGAGAGCUGCACUGUAGUCUCAACAGGAACUUCAGCUGACCCUAUCCUUCAAAGCAAUUCCAAGUUGCAAUGAGGAGCUGGGACUUUAUACCUUCAUGUUUGUUGAUCAUGCGAUGCAGGCCACCCUUUGAAGGAGGCAAGAGAGGCAGUCCCCAAAGGGACUGAGAGCUAAGCAAUGCCUUCUGGUGGCUCUCCCAGAAGCUGGAAUAAUAAAUUCUUUAUUUCUGAACAUCAUAGCGUCUACCACUCUGUCUUUUAGUUAACAGAAGUCAUUAACUUAUUGGGUUAACUUCUAUUAAUGAAAAGACAGAGUGCAGUCAAAUUUCAUGUAUGGUUUGUGUUUUUGAAUCUCAUUUAAGGCAUCGUAUUUCCUUGUACUAAAGUCAUGAAGAUUUUCUUUUAUAUGAUUGUUUGAAAGCUUUAUUUUCAUUAUUAUGUCUUGUCUAUAUUUGAUACUUCGCAUUUAAAAAAUAAAUUAUAGAAUAUUUU
rnacentral:lncRNA from 1 species